GCGGGUGUAGCUCAGUUGGUAGAGCACAAGUUUCCCAAACUUGAGGUCGCGGGUUCGAGACCCGUCGCCCGCUCCA
rnacentral:tRNA from 3 species